UACGUAGGGUGCGAGCGUUAAUCGGAAUUACUGGGCGUAAAGCGUGCGCAGGCGGUCUGUUAAGACCGAUGUGAAAUCCCCGGGCUUAACCUGGGAACUGCGUUUGAAACUACAAGGCUAGAGUGUGGCAGAGGGGGGGUGGAAUUCCACGUGUAGCAGUGAAAUGCGUAGAGAUGUGGAGGAACACCGAUGGCGAAGGCAGCCCCUGGGUUAACACUGACGCUCAGGCACGAAAGCGUGGGGAGCAAACAGG
rnacentral:rRNA from 1 species